rnacentral:rRNA from 1 species
GACGUAGGAGGCGAGCGCUGUCCGGAUUCAUUGGGCGUAAAGAGCGCGCAGGCGGCUUGGUAAGUCGGAUGUGAAAACCCGAGGCUCAACCUCGGGCGUGCAUCCGAAACUGCUCGGCUAGAGGUAGGUAGGGGAGAUCGGAAUUCCUGGUGUAGCGGUGAAAUGCGCAGAUAUCAGGAGGAACACCGGUGGCGAAGGCGGAUCUCUGGGCCUUACCUGACGCUCAGGCGCGAAAGCUAGGGGAGCGAACUGG